GAGAGAUGAAAAUGUAAGUGUGGGAGAGAAAUACAGAUAAUCAUGAUGAGUUCCAGAAGCUAAAUCACAACCAGGAAAUGUAAUGUGUGUGUGUGUGUGUGUGUGUGUGUGUGUGUGUGUGUACUUACAGCUGGACUGGUGUGAUAAAGACGGCGGUGGAUGAUCUGAAGAAGAGUGGAGCACCCAUGAGGUUGACGCUGCCUCAUGGAAGUGGAGGAGCUCCAUUAAGUCCAUCCACGUAUGUGUCAAUGUGUGUGUGUGUGUGUGUGUGUGUGUGUGUGUGUGUGUACUUACACGUCAGUUGAAAGAGCAAGACGUAUUCAUCGCCUGCCAAAGUUCACCCAUUUCAAAAAUAUCUCAUUUCUUUUGUCAUCUUCCCCCCGUCAGGCUGACUGCCCCUCUGAGCCCGACGGAGAACGGGGGUUUGAAAAGCAGCAGCGGUGAGACCGCAGCGCUUUAUCAGCUGGACACUUAAUAAAACGCACAAAUUUGUUAUUGUUACGCAUUUUCUGAAAUGUCCAGCCAAAGUUAAGCCCGGUGUCUGCCCGUAGAUCGAGAUAAAGACAGCUUGACGGAUGACAAGUCUUCAGACCCCAGGCACAGGCUGAUUGAUUUCCUGUCAGACAAAGGCUUCGACUUGAUAGGCCACUCCAACAGCGAUCAGGAGAAGAUGGCCAACAGUGCUUUGGAUGAAGUCAUGUCGCUGAAAAGGCUGUUGGUCGGCAGCAUCAGUCUGACAGAAGACUCGCAGCCCGAUGAAGAAAACGGAGAGGAGCAAUCAGAGAGGCCCAGUCAAGAAACGGAUAGCUGUCAGUCGACAGAAGAAAGCCAGACGACAGACAGGGCAGCGGAGGAGGACAACAAUAACUCUUGUGAAAAAGAAGGUGCAGGGACGAAGGGAGUGGAGGAGAGGAGCAUCACUGCGCCCCUGGUGCUGUCCCAGGAGAGGAGGGAGGAAGUGUGCAGGAGGCUCCACAGUCUGGAGGAACAACUAAAGAGACUACAGACUGUAGAAGAGGAGCACCACAGGCUGCAGGAGGCCCUUUCCAAGUUCUCACUGGAGGGGGGGAACUUCCAGUGAGACACCAUCGCGCCACCUGCUGGCCACUAGAUUUUUACUGGUGCUGGUUUGGAGUGCAAGAGUGACUUUCAGAGGCUUUCCUGGAAAUUCCUAAACCCUCUCCUCGGUCAUGCCCUGGACCCUUCGCUGCAUUUGGGGGCUCUUUACGCACAGUGCAGCGAUGGAACACGGGAGGGAGUGUGCAUGUGUAUGUGUGUCUUGUUUGCGUGCGUGCGUGCUUGAUAGAGAGGUAUACAAAGAAAAAGAAAAAAACGGGACUUCCUACUUCAAGUGGGAGGUUUGUUUUUGCAGAGAGGUGCCAAAAAAAAAAAAGAAGCAAUAUUGUGCUGUGAGAGAGAUGCUGCCUAACAAAAUGUAGUGAUUGCGAUCUGCUGUAACACACAUACGCACACCAGAGACAUGCACGCUAGAAAAUAAUUGACAUUAUUGCCAAUAGCAGAUGUGCAGUAGAGGAUGUUUGCCCGCCAGGUGAGCUAUAACCAGGUGGAAGCCUUAAGGGGGCCAAUGUAGCGUUUGAAGAUGUAUUGAAAUACUACUGCUGAUAUAUAGUGUUAUUUCUAGUCUAUGCCAAAGUACCACAGAGAUGCACUUUUUUCUAAUCAAACCAAGUUGAAGCCACACUGUUUUUGCGAAAUGUAUUUACUCUCUUUUUAGUACCGUUUUUUGGACCGUUGGGCUUCAUAUAGGCUGCCCUUCAUUAUUGCAAAUAUUGCAUGCAAGAAAGUGUGUGUGUGUGUGUGUGUGUGUGUGUUACAAAGUUUUUAAUUAAGGAUGUGCUUCAUAGGAGGGUUCUUACUGUCAUUAGGUCACAUAGAAACAUGUAUAAAUAGUGGCACUAUAGGUAAUCAUGCUGUUAAUAAUGGAGACUUGUUUGUAUUUACCGCUUUUAUUUAUUCCUCUGAGUUCUGUUGGGUCAGCGAGUCGCCUCGCCUGUUUCAAACGUGUAUAGAUGGAGCGACGUGUUGGACAAACGACAAAACACAAGAAGGCAAACGUAGCAUGUACAACAAAGAUCGCGGUAGAGAGAGACAGAGAUGUCGGGAUGGGGAGUGAGUUUCGAGGUUUCAUGAGAUGUGUAGAGAACAUGAGUUUAUGAUGUGCUCUCGCUGUAAUGAAGGAAGAUGUGCACGCACACCUACAAACACUGAGAGCCCAGCGCUGCAGAAGUGUUCGGUGCCAGCAUCACUUCUGCAGAGUCACCUUCCCCCAGAUGGAUCCUCCUCCUCGGGUUAUAAAUAGUCUUCUAGGACGUGAGAGUCGCAUAUUAUUAGAAAAGAAGAGUCUAUUCUCUCCUGGCAGGAACAUUUGUAUCGAAACUGAGCUUCGUCUUCGUAUUUUGAUUCAGCCGUUGAUUGUAAUUAUAAUUAUGAUGAUGUCAUUUCUGAGUAGUGGCAGAGCUGUGGCCGUGCACACAAGACCAAAGACGAAACAAAGCAACGUUAGAUCCUCAUACGCGCUGUAAUUCUCUUAACCACGUGCUUCAUCUGUGCAGGAGCACGUCGCUUAGUGAUCGCUCAGUAGCCCGCAGAUGCUUUUCCUCAAACACGUGGCAACAUAAGUUGAAGCGAUAUCAAAAAAAAAAAAGCACAUUGAAGAAUGAAGCGUUAGUCGUCAAUACAAAACAUUAAAAGUUUUUGCAUGCACUUCAGUGUGAGGAAAAGCCACACGCUGUUCUGUUCUGACCCGGAGAGAGGACUGUAAUUGAACACUUGGGACUCCAGCAAGACGAGAGGCGACAAGAGCGUGAAGCCAGAUGAGCGUACGAAGGAAACGUUAACGGUUUGGAGGAAGGAAAACUGCAAUCUCAGUCCAACAUCUCCGUGUUCAUGAUCACUUCCUGAUAUGCAUUCUCACCGUUGUUGCAACAACAAACGGCCCCUUUGACCCUGAAUCCUCAGAGCCAACUGUCGGGGGGGGGGGGCCUCGAGUCACUCGAGUGUCACAAGACGCUGAAUAAUAGAAGUUUCUGUUUGAACAUUUACUGCCAUUUCUCCCCAUGUGGUUGUCUUCUUGUAAAAUGUACAUAGAUGCUAGAUUGAAGAAAUAGUCCCCGUGUUAUUAAGCUCGUUAGCUCCAUUGACGACACCCUCACUUGUGAUAGCAUGAUCACCUUUUCCUUCGCACAGUUUUAACAUAUGUUGUGUAUUUCACUUGAUUUACUUAAACGGGUCGGGGGAGGUUUUGUUACUGUUUUUGUUUUUGUCCAACAAGCUUUUUGUAAUUGUGUACUACGCAUUUGGUCAUAACGGUGAGAGAGACGGGACUUGUCUGUGACUUGUCUAUGCAUGAAUGAAUUAAAAAAUUAUGCAAAUUUUUGGUGUGCACGUUAAAGCGCAAACCUGCUCUGGACCGUGGCUGUGCAGCUUAGCGAUGGGAUGCAUUUAUACAGAUCAUCUCAACCAGGGAUUGUUUUAAUUGUCAAACUGCAGCGGUCAGCAGGGAGGGACUCCGUCACUCGACACGCUACAGUCACUUCCAGCUCUCUCUCUCUCUCUCUCUCUCUCUCUCUCCAAAUGCUUUUCCUCACGCAUUCUAUAUACAAAUACCUAGAUGUAAAGAAAAUGUAUUUAUAGAGCGGUGCCUUGUUCCCACGAUCAAGUUGUCUACGAACACAAUCGCUGUCUUUCAUGGAGGACAGUGAAAUGGACCUCUGAGAGUUAGAGACAAUGUCAAAAAUGACUAAUAACGAUGGAAAGAUCCUCCCAGGAUUCUGUUUUUGUGUCCUCCUCCAUUACAGCAACAGGUUUUGAGCCCUCCACCAACUCAGCCAGCCAGUGGCCUGUAUAUAAAGACACUGCUCCUUGUCAUACAGGCGUCAUCAUGUCUAUCUAUAAACAAUGAAUAUGCAAGAACUAUACUGUGUAUUUGGGUUUUGAUUUUUUUAUCGUGUAAGAGGUUCUUUAAUGAUGUAUACUUAAGGAAAAUUGUGGUACGUUAUGUUUUUUAUUCUUCAUUUUUUUUUAAUAAAUUGGGGAAAUAAAUUCCUGUUUUGUCAGUUUUUAUAGUUAUGAGCCAAUUAGAAUAAUCUGUGAGCU
rnacentral:lncRNA from 1 species